UUCGAACGCAGCACUCUUUCUGAAGGACCAGCUGUUGAACUGUCAAAUGCACCGUCUUGUAGGUACUUUAGUGGAAAAUAACAUGUUUUUAACUGUAUGUAGAUAAACAUUCCUAGUUUUUGUUAAACUAAUGAGUUAAGUAAAUUACCGACUUCAUUAACCAUGACGGCGAUGUACUAUAUAAAGGUGCAUCCGCAUGACCAAAUUGUGAAUAGUCUUCAGGAACCAUUACAGAAACUCAAAAUGAAAUUGUUUGCAUUGAUCGCGCUGCUGUUAUGCGCAAUACUGGCUGGUGCGAACGUUGUCUAUGCCGCGCCGGAUCCUGAUCAGCCAGCAUUAGUACGGGAAGCUCGCAGCCCAACUAAAGGCCAAAUCUACAAAGGCCAUGGAUACGGACACGGGUAGAGAAAGAACGGGAUAUAGACCUACCCAUAAUAUAUGAACUACGUAAUAAGGGGCUGGUUGUUGAAACUAUCUUUUAACAUGUAAAACGUUAAUUUCUAUUAUGUUACAAAUGUCUUGGGAAUAAAAUGUUAGCAAAA